AAGAACCGGCCCCUGCUGCUUCUUCUCUCGCGUCCAGCAACGCAGAGAACUCUAGAAAAAUCGUGAACUAAGUCCAUCGAUCCAACUGCAUCCUUCUCCCAUCGUCCUUAUCCUCCGUACGAAGAAUCUUCCAGGUGUCUUAAUCUUGUAGGUUGCCUGAAAUCAAGUGACUCUUCUCUUGUUUCCGUUGAGGAAAUUGUACAAUUUCUUACAAAAGUCCUACGACUACCUUAUCUCCGGAAGGAAUUCAAAUUAUGAAUUCACUCCAAUGCCCCUCUCGAUUUCCCCCCCCUUUUUGAACCCUAGAAAUUCCCUAUAAAUACUCUUUUUUUCCAUUCAUUGUGAGGUUGGUCAUUUUUCACUGAGAGAAGGGUUAGAAAUUUUAGUCAUAUUCAGAAAUUAGCUACAAUACUACUAAGAAAAUACAAAGGUUUUGAGGUAGAAAAUAGAACCAAAACAGACAAGUGAUAUAGAGCAUACUUAAGUUUCGAUUUUGUUUUGGAACUCGACACUUUUCUCUAUUUUUGCAGUCUCAUUUUGGUGAAAGAAUCGUUAUCGUGCUAGCUCGUUCUCCCGUUCACUUUCCAAAAGAAGGUAACAACCUCAUCCUUAUCGUGUUUCAGUUCAUCUCCUUCUUCUCGACUUUUAUUGUGUUUAUGUCUUUCUGUGCUUAAACAUGAACUAAAUACCAAUAUUAAUUUCUUUUAAGUGUUAAAGUCAUAUUUGUUUUCUGAUGUUAAAAAUUGGUUUGAUGACUUGCUUCCAUGGUUAAUAUAUCGAUUUUUUCUCAUACUCCUAAUUCUCUAUUUGUCGGGUAAGAUGUAGGUUGUAAUUAUUUAGGCUCAAUGCUCCGUGAAAAAAUUGAUUUCUUCCCUUGUUUAAUGCUCAUCCCUAUUUCAAAACAUAGUUACAUCUUGAUAAUAUUUUCUUAUGAUGCCUAUGAUCCUUUUUUCUUCUUCCUUUUUUUUAGCUUAGCAUGGAUUGUUGACAUGGUUAUUUGCCUCUUAAUUCCCUGGGUCUAUUUGUGUGUGUGUAUGCUUGCUCAUUUAAUGUUUGUGUUAGCAUAUUAAGUGAUUUGAAUUCGUUCCUUAGGGACAUGUUAUAGUGUUUUUGCAUUUAACAUCAACUAAAGUUGUCCUAAGUUUCUUAGCUUUAACUGUUAAGGGUCGUUUUGGUAGGUUGCAUCAAAAGAAAUGAUCCAUAUAUUAUAUAUGGUAUAGUUUAAUAUUAUGUUUGUAGAAAUUUGAGCUUAUGUAUAACUAAUCCACGAAUUAGUUUUGCAUUGUUAUAUUUUAGAUGUUUUGAUGAUCCUCACACAAAUGCAGGGACCUGGUCCCUAGCAGAGUACACUCGUCUAGAUACAAAUGGGGUACAACUGCAAAGUUGUCAUGUCAGGUGAUAGGUGAAAAGUGCAGUGUCCUACACCAAUAGAAAGAGCGUAGGAGAUAGUAUGCUUUAGUGUUUCACACAUGCAGGAAUCCGAUCCCAUGCAGAGUUCUCUCAUUCAGAUCCAUAAUGGGGUACGACUGUAAAGAGGUUGGUGAAGUGUCAUCGUACUACACCAAUCAGAAUGGACGAGGGUGUUUGCUCAACGGGUAAUAACUCUUUAUGUUUGAUAUUUUCUACGUGACAACACCAUAUUAAAUUCAUUCAUCCAAAGAAGAAAGUUAGCCAACAAGCCUUUCAAGAACUCACAAAGAAAUUUGCAGGGAACCUGGUCCUUACAAGACUGCGAUAUGAAAAGGUGACAAGACAGCUGACAGAAAAGUUGCCACCUCUGAUAUGAUAGGUGCACAGUUUUUCUAAGCAACAGACUCUCAGCCAAUGAGCGGUCCCAAAGAGUUGUGUUGAUUUUACGUAGUCUCUUCCAACAAAACACAACUCAAGAUUUGGAAAAUUAAAUUCACAAAUUUAAAAAGACAAAGUCAUCUUUAAGGAAGAACUCAAGCACAAGAAAACAUACAACAAGGACCUGAUCAAUUGAAAGAGUGAUUUAUAUACAUGUUUUUGUUCUUAAUGUUUGUAAUAAGCUUAUAUUGUAGGAAUCAUUUCGCUUGUGAUAAAAACGUUUAAUAUUUUGGGUGAAUCGUUCUAAGAACCAGGUUAAGGGUAGUUGAGGUUGUUACUAACAAAAUAUAUUAAUCAAGUUAGAAUUUGUAUAGUGGAGAGUGAUGUAUCUACUUAUUAAUCAAGUUAAAAUUUGUAUAGUGGGCAGUGUUUUAUCUGCUUUGACUCAUCUAAGUAAUAGGUACUAUUGCUUAGGGUGGAGAUUAGCAGGCUAAUCUCAGUUUGUAAACUGUAUUUUGUUUUUGCUUUGAUAAGAUUAACAAAAGCAGUUUGAAAAGCUCUAUUGAGAUAGGUCGUGGUAUUACUCCCUAGAGUAAGGAGGUUUCCACGUAAAUUUGUUUGUGCAAUCUUUACUUUCGACACUUAUUUUACUGUCCGUUAUUAUAACUGUCUUGAGG
rnacentral:lncRNA from 1 species